GCUCGUUUAAUUUUCAUAAAAUUUUGUCAAAGUAUUUACUUAAACACUUUAACAAAAAUAUAAAAAUUAAAAAAAAAUUUGAACCAACCAUUUUGCCAGAAAAAUUACACUGGUUAUAUAGCAAUUUGACAAACACCAAUUUUGAUCAUUGAGAAGCUUAAUAUUCCUUUUACAACACAAUGUAAUUAAAACGUUUAGCUGACUUUACAGAGUUAUCUCCCUGUAGUGUUAGGUACCACCUUAAAGCC
rnacentral:lncRNA from 1 species